GACGAACGCUGGCGGCGUGCUUAACACAUGCAAGUCGAACGGAAAGGCCCUGCUUUUGUGGGGUGCUCGAGUGGCGAACGGGUGAGUAACACGUGAGUAACCUGCCCUUGACUUUGGGAUAACUUCAGGAAACUGGGGCUAAUACCGGAUAGGAGCUCCUGCUGCAUGGUGGGGGUUGGAAAGUUUCGGCGGUUGGGGAUGGACUCGCGGCUUAUCAGCUUGUUGGUGGGGUAGUGGCUUACCAAGGCUUUGACGGGUAGCCGGCCUGAGAGGGUGACCGGCCACAUUGGGACUGAGAUAAGGCCCAGACUCCUACGGGAGGCAGCAGUGGGGAGUAUUGCACAAUGGGCGGAAGCCUGAUGCAGCAACGCCGCGUGCGGGAUGACGGCCUUCGGGUUGUAAACCGCUUUCGCCUGUGACGAAGCGUGAGUGACGGUAAUGGGUAAAGAAGCACCGGCUAACUACGU
rnacentral:rRNA from 1 species